rnacentral:rRNA from 1 species
GAUGAACGCUAGCGGCAGGCUUAACACAUGCAAGUCGAGGGGUAUAGUUCUUCGGAAUUAGAGACCGGCGCACGGGUGCGUAACGCGUAUGCAAUCUACCUUUCACAGAGGGAUAGCCCCAGAGAAAUUUGGAUUAAUACCUCAUAGUAUAGCAGUUUCGCAUGAAACCACUAUUAAAGUCACAACGGUGAAAGAUGAGCAUGCGUCCCAUUAGCUAGUUGGUAAGGUAACGGCUUACCAAGGCUACGAUGGGUAGGGGUCCUGAGAGGGAGAUCCCCACACUGGUACUGAGACACGGACCAGACUCCUACGGGAGGCAGCAGUGAGGAAUAUUGGACAAUGGGCGGCGAAGACCUGAUCCAGCCAUGCCGCGUGCAGGAUGACGGUCCUAUGGAUUGUAAACUGCUUUUGUUACAGGAAGAAACAACUACUUCG